rnacentral:rRNA from 1 species
AUUGAACGCUGGCGGCAGGCCUGACACAUGCAAGUCGAACGGUAACAGGAAACAGCUUGCUGUUUCGCUGACGAGUGGCGGACGGGUGAGUAAUGUCUGGGAAACUGCCUGAUGGAGGGGGAUAACUACUGGAAACGGUAGCUAAUACCGCAUAACGCCGCAAGACCAAAGAGGGGGACCUUCGGGCCUCUUGCCAUCGGAUGGGCCCAGAUGGGAUUAGCUAGUAGGUGGGGUAACGGCUCACCUAGGCGACGAUCCCUAGCUGGUCUGAGAGGAUGACCAGCCACACUGGAACUGAGACACGGUCCAGACUCCUACGGGAGGCAGCAGUGGGGAAUAUUGCACAAUGGGCGCAAGCCUGAUGCAGCCAUGCCGCGUGUAUGAAGAAGGCCUUCGGGUUGUAAAGUACUUUCAGCGGGGAGGAAGGGAGUAAAGUUAAUACCUUUGCUCAUUGACGUUACCCGCAGAAGAAGCACCGGCUAACUCAGUGCCAGCCGCCGCCGUAA